UUCACUCGCAGCAUUUUGAAACUCGAUUGAACUCGCAACACAAUCUCCAUCAUUUUGGACGCUUCUACAGAUGUAAACCAACCAAUUAGGAUUUUAUUUUGUUUCAUUUUGUAUUUAUCAUCACCUGUAGAAUUACGUUCAGCCCUUGAAGUAUCUAAUCCAGACUGUGGGAAAACACCUGAAAAGUAUACAGAAAACACAGAUGUCAGUGUUGCAGCAUUCAUUUGGAGUCAACAGAGGAGUGAUGGUGAUAUCACUGCUCUUCCGGCCUUGUCUUCAGCUCCAUCGAGCGCUCCCAUCGUUCCCUCUCGUCUUCUGUGUCUCUCUUUGAUCCAGACAGAACCUUGACGAGAGCCUUCAGUAGUCUGGACGGCUGUGUGUCCUGUGGAGAAACACCAGGAACUGUUAGAGCGACCAAUCAUGUCUAGUAAAGUAUUAAAUACUAAAAGAAAAGAUCACACUAGUGGCCCAUCUGAGGACUCUGUCUUCCAAAAGCUUUACUGUAGUUUUAUAAACUUCCAGCUCUUAUGGUUUGUGUAAGGUUUUUUUAAUAAUAGCAUUAUGGUGUGGAUACCAAUGAAUGAUUGCACUAACUAGCUGAGGUUAAUGGCAGGAAUAUCAACAUUCUCCUCAGUUGUGUUGGUGAAUUACUCAGAAACAAGCUCAGAUAACACUGAAAUUCCAGUUAGCAUUAAGCUACAUCUGAACUUCCAGUAGUUCUGCUGUAUUGAGGAAGAUCGGCAUUGAACUUUGGAUCAAAAUCCAUCUUCAGAAGUUUACUAUGUCUAACAUCUGGCUCUCAGUGCUAAGUCAAAUUCCAGCGGAUUUUUCAAUCAUACAGAAAUAGUUUUUAAUAAUCAGAGAGAAAAAUCACGUCUGUUACAUUUCCCUUUAGUUACCAGCAUCAUGCUAACAAGAAAGCACAUAAACCAUAAACGUGGUUUGUGUUAGCCAUCAAAAAAGAUGAAGAUUUAUUGUUAAAGGAUCUGAGGAGUGUUUAUUAACACCGUCAUCUUGUAUUUAACCUCUUGGAUACUUUGAGCACUAUAAAGAGUUAAAGAUCGCCAGUUCUUUACUGUAGUGAUUUGUAGCUGCGUC